CUGAGGGAACUGGGCGGGAACGAGCUGAAGGGACCGGGGCGAUCUGAGGGAACCGGGCGGGAACGAGCUGAAGGGACGCGCGCUGAAGGACGGGUGGGAGCGAACUGAGGGAGCUAGAGCUAGAGCUGGAGCUGAGGGACGGGCGGGAACGAGCUGAGGGGACCAGGGCGGCUGAGGGACGGGCGAGAGCGAGCUGAGGGACAGUGGGGACGAGCUGAGGGAACCGGCCGGCUGAAGGAACCAGGGCGGCCCUGAGGGGCGGGCGGGACCGGGCUGAGGGGGAGCCCAGUGCAAGCCCUGAGGGAGCCCAGGCUUGUGUGGCUGGGCGAGCACAGAGGGCCGAUUCCCUUCAAGUGAGGGAUGCAGUUGUGUGAACCUCCAUGGUCUUUCACGGCAUCUUCCAGGAGAAAUUCCGGGUCCGUUCCUCACCCCUGAUUUCUUGUGGUGUCAUGCCAGAGCACUCUGAGAGAGCAGAAGAUAAAGGCACUGACAGAUGAAGUCUAGUCCAAGAUGAAACAGAAAAGCAGUGGAAGGUCAGGAGUCCAAAGCAAUGUCUCUGGGUGUGAGUCAGUGCUCUGUGUCUGUAAUGCUGCCAGUGUGGCUUUUUGGGGAUGAUUGUUUUGACUCUUAGAAAAGCAUUCAUACUUUCUCAAAUGAUAAUUGCCUACACCAUAACUUCCCUUUAACAUAAAUACAUGGUGAGAGCUGUGUAGUGUUUGUCCUUAGGAGGGAAAAAACCACUGGGAAAGAGCCAAGGCAGUAUGUCACUGUAUGUUCCUGUUUAUUCUACUUCUUAUUUUUCACAUGUUUUGUAAAAUGUGUAUCUCCAAUGACUAAUACUUCUAAGUAACCAAUUUGUGCCAGUAAAUGGAAGCACCAUCUGUAAAAAGCUGAUUUGCAGAAGCCAAGUUCUCAAACAUCUGAGGAGGAGGAGGUGUUAUAACUUAGUGAGAGACGACCAAAGUGUAGACUUGGGUUUGGGAGUCAGGAUGAUUUCAGAUGUAUUAUGUAAGCAGGAUGUGAGAGGAAAAAGGAAAUGGAGAGCAAAAUGAUGGAGCUCUUCUUCAGCAGGAGCAAAGAUAAGUAACCCAUGCUGAUAGAAAGGCUAAGAAAAACUCAGCAUUUGGUAAAAAAAGACAUUUAGUUGAGUUUGAAAUGUAGCAGAUGCUGAUUGCUGACACAAUGAGGAACACAGACCAGUGUGCUUACUCAGUGACAUUCAAUGACUGUAAUAAAACAAAGGUUAAUUAAAUAGAAGUAGCUGAG
rnacentral:lncRNA from 1 species